GAUGAACGCUGGCGGCGUGCCUAAUACAUGCAAGUCGAGCGAACAGACGAGGAGCUUGCUCCUCUGACGUUAGCGGCGGACGGGUGAGUAACACGUGGAUAACCUACCUAUAAGACUGGGAUAACUUCGGGAAACCGGAGCUAAUACCGGAUAAUAUAUUGAACCGCAUGGUUCAAUAGUGAAAGACGGUUUUGCUGUCACUUAUAGAUGGAUCCGCGCCGCAUUAGCUAGUUGGUAAGGUAAUGGCUUACCGAGGCAACGAUGCGUAGCCGACCUGAGAGGGUGAUCGGCCACACUGGAACUGAGACACGGUCCAGACUCCUACGGGAGGCAGCAGUAGGGAAUCUUCCGCAAUGGGCGAAAGCCUGACGGAGCAACGCCGCGUGAAUGAUGAAGGUCUUCGGAUCGUAAAACUCUGUUAUUAGGGAAGAACAAAUGUCUAAGUAACUAUGCACGUCUUGACGGUACCUAAUCAGAAAGCCACGGCUAACUACGUG
rnacentral:rRNA from 1 species